rnacentral:lncRNA from 1 species
GCGCUGCUGCCGCUGCGGCCCGGGUCAUGUGGACUGUCUUUUUUUUUUUUUUUUUUUUUUUCCUCCUUCCAAGCAGUUUACUUGGGAAGGGUGGGAGCGCGGUGGGGGGAUAGCUGGAGCAACCAGUCAGGGAACGGCCUACUGUUUGCUUACAGAUUGGGGGUUUUUCCUCUCUCUUUACUCCAACCGGAUUGGUUUGCUCCACGAGAAAGAGGCGUUUUCCUAAUCUCCCUUCCCCACGCCUCCUACCCCCUCCCCCGCCCCACCUUCUAGAAACCUGACUAAUUGAAUUACUGGGAGUGCCGAGGCGCCCUCUCCUGCGCCGGAGCCCGGCAGCCACGUGUAACCCUUUGGGUGCUGAAUUCCGUCUGGGCUAAGGAAUGAUUUGACAUCUUUUUACCUGGGAGUAGGGUCUUUCGAUUUUAAAGGAACCUGUGCCCACCCUUUGGCUGGAGAGCCGGCAUCUGUCUCUGGUGCCCCGCAGGUGACGGAUGGGCUGGAACGGAGCCUCAGGGAGUGCGCGUUCCUGUCCAUUCCACCCGCUCUCCACGCCGCACGCUGCCUGGCGCUGGGUUAUCUGGAAGUCUGAGCACCCCUCCUGUGCCUUUCAGCCCUCCUCUUCCCACUUGGGAUUUAAAGAUUCUUGGGCAGGAAGCAAGUUUUCUUUAAAGUGAUGCUCUGAAAACACGUUUUUAAAAAUCAGGCAAAUCACAGUUUAAAGUGAUUACAAUUCAGCGCGAACCUUCCACAGAGAGGAAAUGAAUGCGGCAGACGAGCCCUUCAGAAAUAACCUCACACCUCUUCCAUUUCAACCUUGAGGGUGAUUUGCUGCCCACUCCCCAAAGAAUAAACGCCUUUAUCGAACCCGGUGCGGAAAGAAAUGAGGGCCGGGGGCGGGGGCUGUGGGAAGAAAAGCAGUUCCUUUAUUGUUGGAAAAGGCCCCUCGGUCCUGGACUUCAAGGGCAGGUUGCAAGCCUGGUCUUCAGCCGCCACUGAAGAGCGAUCUCCUGGCAGCGAGACUGUCCCAGCGCCUCGGGACGCGUCCCCACUGUCGUCCAGCGCCCAGGAAGUGAGCCCGACGCCUGCUCUGCGGGGCCACAGGCCCCCGAGACCCGCCCUUAAGGGGUCCGCGGGCUCGGGAGCAGCGGUAUUUUUUCUCAUGUUCCCUAGGGAGUUUUCUGCCUUAGUGGGAAGGGCAGAUCCCCAGGAGAAAAAAGGCAGUUUACUUUUGCUCCCACACCUGCCUGCACUCCUUUUUACUUAUUAGCCCAAUAAAAUCAAAUCUCACGUUCACCCUCCUGCGCUUUCCAGUCCUCAGACGGGAUUUCCAGGCGCUUCAGAGCUGUUUAGAAGCGUCCAGACGCCCUCCAGUGGUGGGCCUGCAAUCCGCACCCAGCAGGGGCAUUGCCUGCCGCUCAGGCCGGGUUGAAUUUGAUGGGAAAUCUAGGGCUAUGACCAAUAAAGACUCGAGAGGAAAAGAAACAGUUCAUAGGGGCACGGAGGUACCUGGAUGUUAUGGGCUCUUGGCUAAAAGUUAAGUCGUUUUUCAAUUACAGUAAUAUUUCCUAUCUGAAAAGAUCCUGAAAUCGUCCUAGGAAAGUAACUUAUAUUUUGUGACUAGAUACAAAUUGCAAUCUGUACAAUAAUGGACUUUACCACAAACCAACCAUCUGCCUAAUUAUUAAAAAUUGAAAUUCAGAAUGUCGACACAAAUGCUCCUCCAUCAUCUGUAUGUUUCACAAAGUUCCAGCAGUGAGAAAGAAGUGGGGAAAGAAGAUUGCAGGUGGCCGGAGUUCAGGGCUCAAGGAGGAA